GGUCUUUAGAUUUUUAUUUAAGAUCAGGCCUGCCCAUUGAUUUGAAAAAUUAAAAGGCUGCGGUAUUUUAACUGUACGAAGGUAGCAUAAUCAUUUGUCUUUUAAUUGGAGGCUAGAAUGAAUGGUUUGAUGAGAAAUAAACUUUCUUUUUUUAAUUUAUAUUAAUUUAAUUUUUUAGUUAAAAAGCUAAAAUUUUUUUAUAGGACGAGAAGACCCUAUAGAAGUUUACUGUAUUAAUAAUUCUUUGUUUUUUGUUAUUAAAAUAUUUUUUUAAAUUAUAUAGUUUUGUUGGGGUGACAUUAAAAUUUAUUUAACUUUUAAUAUUUUUCUCAUUAAUUUAUGUUUUUUUGAUCCAAUAUUUAUUGAUUAAAAGUUUAACUUACCUUAGGGAUAACAGCGUAAUUUUUUCGGAGAGUUCAUAUCGAUGAAUAAAGUUUGCGA
rnacentral:rRNA from 1 species